rnacentral:SRP_RNA from 2 species
AAAGUGGACGCUUGUAGCGAUAGGCUGCCAAUCCCGUCAGGUCUGGAAGGAAGCAGCGGCAACAGCUGAUUCGGGUGCUCGUUAAGCCACUUUCAU